AGUACGUGAAACUGCUUAGAGGUUAAGCCUGAUGAACCUGAAUAUCCAUUAAUGGAAAAUUCAUCACUAAUUAUAUAAUAUAAUAUAUUAAUAUUAUAAAAAUGGUGUGCAUUUUUUCCAUAAAGGACAUUGUAAUUGGUUAAUAAAUUAAAAGUUUAUCAUAAAAUUCAUUAUAAUAGAUUAUUCUAAUUAGAUUUUUUUUUUUAAAUUUAAUAUUGAAUAAAUUUUAUGAAUUUGAUAAACUGUUGACCAAUUUAUAUAUAAUAAUGUUAAAAAAAAUUUCUUUGAAAUUUUUACAAUAAUUAUUUAUAUAUAUUCUUUGAAUAUUAUAUUUAAUUUAUUGUAUACAUUUUUAUGAUUUACAAUGCUAUAAAUUCAGGAUACCUUCGGGACCCGUCUUGAAACACGGACCAAGGAGUCUAACAUAUGUGCAAGUCGUUGAGUAAUUUAAAUAAAACUCAAAGGCAUAAUUAACUUAACUGAUAUAAUAUAUUAUAUUAAUGGGAUUAAUUUAUAUGAAUAUUUUUAUAUAUUUUAUAAAUUCAAUCCCAGGGCGUUCUAUAUAGUUAUGCAUAAUAAUAUUUAUAUUAUUUAUGUCUCUAACUG
rnacentral:rRNA from 1 species